rnacentral:lncRNA from 1 species
GCUGGCAUAUCACUAGUCGACUUAACCCAACUUGAACAACCUUUCUAUUCCAGGUACGUGUACAAGUAUGUAUAUCCUUUUACAAUAUGCAAAUCAUGCAUUUAGAUACCAUAACGUGAUACAAUGACAUUGAUCAAUCAUAAGCUUAUAAAGCAUGCAUGCAUGAGCGAGGGAGCCCAUGCAAACGCCUGACAUAUGAACUGUAACAGUGCGCGCGUAUGACAUGCAAUAGCUACGAGUAAAUCGAUGGAUAGAUGGAUCACAUGGGGCAGGUGAAGUUGGCGGGGCACUUCUUGCCGCACUGGUUGAGUNNNNNNNNNNGGUUCGAUUUGAAAUUGUCCAUUAAGAUGAAACCAAUAUAGGAUUUAAUCUUCCCAGCCACACGAUGCGGAUGAUGCAAAUUCUCACCAUUUCUUAUAUUAUUUCUUUUAUCCGAGAUGUGCCAUAUAGCCACAGUAAAGUACAAUGCGUGAAGAUCUGGUGCAACAUUUAUCCAUUCUAGCAAUCAUUGAUGAAUAUUGAUAAACCUUUUUAGAUUUAGCACGAUAUGAAAAGACCUUUCAUAGUUUGCCCAAAAAUUCUUUGACAUAAUGGGAAAAGAAGAAACAAUGUUCCACAGUCUCAACUCUAUUACAGAUAAAACACUCAUACCUCGUAGGAAAUGUUCCACAGUUUCAUCAAUGUUCCUCACCAGUAGGUAAAAAAUUACGAACCAUUCUCCAUAAGAUGAUCUUCAUUCUAUUUGGACUUUGUAUUUCGAGUUUUUGCUCUAUAUUUUUCCUGUUUCCUCCAUGUUCGAGGCUGAUCCUCUUCCAUCAGAGCUCUAGUACAUCCAGAACGAUAAGGAUUUUGCAAGGUUAUACCGAGACAAUAUAGUGUAGGUGCCUCCAUUCGUGUAUGGCCAUGAUGCGAAAUCUCAGCACCCUUAUGAACUUAGAGGGAUCUUUAGGAUCUUUACAACCAGGUUUUUUGGAAACAUUUCACUAACAACCACACUGUUUCAUGAUUUACCAUCAGUUAAAAACAAAUGGUUCGCAGUCUUAUCCUCCUCCACCGGGAAAUUUGUACAAAGUAUGCCACGAAAUGAGUGUGGGAUCCAAUUAUCUUAAAUCAAAGAUAUUUGCUUUCCGUCUCCUAAUUGCAAGAAUAAGCCGUUUUGAAGGAGUUUCUUACCAAAUAAUAUGCUGCGCCAUGUGUGGGAAGCUGAUCUUGGGCAUCCUGAUCUCCAAAAAUCUCCAUGCGGGAAAUACCUUCCUUCUAAUACCUUGAAGCAUAAUGAAUUGGGGUUCACUAAGAGCCUACAGCACUGCUUUGCAAGCAUGGCUUGAUUAAAAAUCACCAAGUCCCUGAAUCCCAUUCCUCCAAGAUACUUGGGCGAGGAUAGCCAAUUAGAGGACCUCCAAUGAAUUUUUUCCUCCCAUCUUCCAUUCCCCACCAUACUGGAGAUAGGUCUAUUCAUGUUCUCACAUAUUGAUAUUGGAAUUUGGAAGCAGCACAUUACAUAUGUCCGGAUGGCUUGAGCCACCGACUUUAGAAGUACUUCUCUACCUUCUCUGGAUAACAGUCUUAUCAUUCCACCCAUUUAAUAUCCUCCAUAGCCUCCGAGUGAGGAAAUUAAAAUUGCUUGUUGUAGAGCAUCCCACCCAAGAAGGCAUGCCAAGGUAAGUGGCUUGUAGAGACUCAUCUCGGACUCCUACCAUGUUCUUUACUCGUUCCUUCACCCGAUUGUCACAAUGAUGUCCAAAGAAGAUAUAUGACUUGUGCAAGUUGAUUUUCUGACUAGAGCCUUUGUAGUACGUCUCAAGAGCGAUUUUAAGUAUGUUUGUGCUUCUAUUGUCGCCCUUCACAAAAAAUAUGCUAUCAUCAUCAAAUAAGAGGUGGUAAAUAGGAUNNNNNNNNNNUUGAUGUCCAAAGAAGAUAUAUGACUUGUGCAAGUUGAUUUUCUGACCAGAGCCUUUGUAGUAGGUCUCAAGAGCAAUUUUAAGUAUGUUUGUGCUUCUAUUGUCUCCCGUCACAAAAAAUAUGCUAUCAUCAUCAAAUAAGAGGUGGUAAAUAGGAUGGCCUGCUUUUCUGUUCUUGAUUUCUCUAAUGUCCCUUAUUGCUUCUUUUAACUGUAGAAGACAAGAUAAACCUUCAGGACAUAAUAAAAAUAAGUAUGGGCUGAUGGGAUCACCCUGACAUAUGCCUCUAGUAGGUAUGAAAGGGCCAGUUAAGUUCCCAUUUACUUUGACUGCAUAUUGUAUAGAGGUCACACACCUCAUCACCGAUUCUAACUAGUUUCAAAUAAAGCCAAAUUUAACAAGAACCCCUUUCAAAUAAGGCCAUUCAACUCUAUCAUACACUAGUAGAAAAGAGGGCUUUGGUCCACUUGAUAAAAUCCCAUUAGUCUUGGGCCGACCCAUGUGGGAGGCGGGACACCAAUGUUUUUUUUUUAUAUAUUUCCUUUUUUCUUUUCUGUAUUUGUAUUUUCUAUUUUAAAAUAAUUCAGGAUUACAAAAUGUUUCCAUUUUCAGGAAAUAGAGAAAUAAAAAUAUUUUGAGAAAUCAUAAAUAUUCGUGAAUUCGUGAAAUGUGCAUGUUUUUGAAAAACAUUUGGGAAGUCAUAAAAUUUUCAAAUUUAAAAGAAUUCAUGAUUUUCAAACAAAUCUUUGCAUAUUCAAAGAUCUUUCAUGNNNNNNNNNNGAAAUCCCAUUAGUCUUGGGCCGACCCAUGUGGGAGGCGGGACACCACUGUUUUUUUUAUAUAUUUUUCCUUUUUUUCUUUUCUGUAUUUGUAUUUUCUAUUUUAAAAUAAUUCAAGAUUAUAAAUUUUUUCCAUUUUCAGGAAAUAGAGAAAUAAAAAUAUAUUUGAGAAAUCAUAAAUAUUCGUGAAUUCAUGAAAUGUGCAUGUUUUUUAAAAACAUUUGGGAAGUCAUAAAAUUUUCAAAUUUAAAAUAAUUCAUGAUUUUCAAACAAAUCUUUGCAUAUUCAAAGAUCUUUCAUGAUUUUGAAAAAAAGUCCGGGAAAGAAAUAAAGUGUGUGGGUUCAAAAACAAUUAUUAAAGAUGGAAGAAGUUCAUGAAUUAAAACAAUAUUCACGAUUCUGUAAAAAAUGUCCAUAAAAAAUGUAUUUCAGUUUAAAUUGUCCCUGAAUUUCGAAGUUCAUCNNNNNNNNNNAAAAAGUGUGUGGGUUCAAAAACAAUUCUUAAAGAUGGAAGAAGUUCAUGAAUUAAAACAAUAUUCAUGAUUCUGUAAAAAAUGUCCGUAAAAAAUGUAUUUCAGUUUAAAUUGUCCCUGAAUUUCGAAGUUCAUCAAUUGAAAAGAGGUUUGCUGAAUGAAAGUAUGUUCAUGGUUUUCAAAAACAAAUUUAUUAAAAAAAUUGUGAUCUUCAAAAAGUUUUUCCAAAAUAUAAAAAUAUUUAUCAAUUCAAAACAAUUGGUUUAACUUUAAAAAAAUGUUCAUGAUUUCAAAUAAUGUCCGAGAAUAUGCAAAAAAUACGAAUAUAAAAAAUGUACACGUUUCAAAACAUGUCCAUAAAUUGAAAAAAUGUUUAUGAUUUCCAAAUGUGUUCACAAUUUUGAUAUUUUUUCAAUAUUUGUUUUUUUUGAAAAAGACAGGAAAAUUGAAAUUGGAAAUAAUGAAAAAUAUAAUAAAANNNNNNNNNNUCACGUUUCAAAACAUGUCCAUAAAUUGAAAAAAUAUUCAUGAUUUCGAAAUGUGUUCACAAUUUUGAUUUUUUUUUCAAUAUUUGUUUUUUUAAAAAGACAGGAAAAUUGAAAUUGGAAAUAAUGAAAAAUAUAAUAAAAGGCAAACAAGAAAAAAAAUGAGAAAUGAAAAAUUAAAAUGAAAAUGACAUAAUAAAAGAAAAUCAAAAAUAGAAAAGAAAGUGGAAAAGGAGAAAUACGAAAAUGAGAAAGAUAUAGAAAAAUAAAAAGAAGCAACAAAGAAGAAGAAAAUAAAAACUGACUCAACGAAGGUUCUAGAACUUCCGCCAACUGAAAAGAAAAAAAACUAGACUAGGAUGGUCCAAACGCGGGACAAUCUCGGGAGGGGGCUAUGCACCAGCUUGCUAUAGAGCGACCUACAUGCCAAAUNNNNNNNNNNUACUUCCGCCAACUGAAAGGAAAAAAAAUAGACUAGGAUGGUCCAAACGCGGGACAAUCUCAGGAGGGGGCUAUGCACCAGCUUGCUAUAGAGCGACCUACAUGCCAAAUUGGAACAAGAAAGCAAGACAUAGUCAUGCCACAUACGCUUGGUUGUCUCAUGGCAAUCGACAGGUAGCCCCUUGACUAUGUGCCAAGCCACACAUGUAGGUUGUAUCACUAAAGGCUUAAUUAUUCAGCCCGGCGUCAUCGCGCACUUGAGUAUUUCUUUCCUGUGUGGUCUAGAUGGGCUUGAUUUGUGGUCGUGGAUGACACCGUGAAGACCUCUUAUGGCAAGGCCAAGUGCACCGUACUCAUCCAGGCCUCGUAUGAAUAACCUCUUUUUCCUCUUAAUUCUCUUGUUUUAAUACUUCUCCUAGUUUCUAAUUUCUUCUUGUUUCGAAAUUUCAGACAAGCAUGGCAGGUUUGGGCUUGAUCUGAAGAUUUUCUUCCUCGGACCGUAACAGAAUUUGGUUUGUUCAAGAAGCUCAAGUAAGUCUUCUUUUUACCAGCAAAAGAAAGAAGCUCAUGUAAGUAUUUUUCUUAAGAUCUUUUAACCCAAGAAAGGAUAUGUGUCCUUGUUGCUCAAUCGUUUUUCCGAUCUCCGACUAAGACAUCCUGAUAAGAACGGCGCCCAAAUAUUUCACAUGAACAUGGUUCCUAUAUACAAGCUAUACAUUAUGUUUCAAAAGUAUGACAUAUAUAAAUAUGCCAAGUUCUGUUGCUUUCAUGCUUAGCACNNNNNNNNNNGAUCCUGACAAGAACGGGGCCCAAAUGUUUCACAUGACCAUGGUUCCUAUAUACAAGCUAUACAUUAUGUUUCAAAAAUAUGACAUAUAUAAAUAUGCCAAGUUCUGUUGCUUUCAUGCUUAGCACCUUUGGUUAACACCCCCAGGAUAGCAGGUAUACAUUUUUAACCAGGGUAGUUAUAAUUAAUCUUUUUUGCUUCCGAGCACCCAUUGUAUAUAGAGAGAUUUACACUAGGAUGUCAAUACCAUCUGUAUAUUUUGUUGUUGUUGACACUGCCUUAUCAAACUAAAUAAACAAAAANNNNNNNNNNNNNNNNNNNNNNNNNNNNNNNNNNNNNNNNNNNNNNNNNNNNNNNNNNNNNNNNNNNNNNNNNNNNNNNNNNNNNNNNNNNNNNNNNNNNUCCGACGGCCACCUUCAUGGAUAUGUUCUUGAAUUUCUGAUGAAGUUCACAUGAUGUUGAAUCCUUGAUUCCAUCCACGGGGUAGCCGGGACCGCCCUCUAUCAUUCUUCGUUCAUCGGCGGGCGGGGCCUCAGAUUCAGCCACGCUGCUUUUCCGCUUAGAUGGGGCACCGGUAAUAUCAAGUGCAGGAUCUUCCUGGCGCGGUACUCCUCUAAGCUCAUCAAUCUUCUUCUGUUGCUCGUUAAUCCUGGCAAGCAACUGGUUGAACUUGUCAUUCUCCUCAUCCUGCUUCCGCUUCUGUGCUCUCUCUCGGCUUCUGUAAGUGUCUUGGUCUCUGGCAAACCCAAGCCACCACGGGUAAGAUGGACCGAAGCCUCGCAUUCGUCCUCCAUGUUCGUCAUUGCCGAGGACCAGUGUGAGCAAAUCUUUAUCUCUAUCUGCAGUGAACUUUCUUUGUCCCUCCUUAAUUUCUUUCACUAUCCUUUUCCAAUUCUCCCUGGGUAUCCUAAGAUUGUCAUUGCAGAUGAGGUCCCCUGUUUUUUCGUCGCACGACCCACCAUGCGCAAGGAACCAAUUUCUUGCUCUCCAUUCCCACUCAUCACGGAGUGGUUCAGGUACGAUGCCUUUAUCUAUCAGAUCUUGCUCUUUCUUUUCCCACUUUGGGAUCGCAGUCUCAUAGCCCCCUGGCCCCAGCUUGUGGUUAUAUAUCUUCUUGUCGGCAUUUAUCUUGUUCUUUUCUGAUAAUGCCUGGGCAUNNNNNNNNNNCCCUGGCCCCAGCUUGUGGUGAUAUUUCUUCUUGUCGGCAUUUAUCUUGUUCUUUUCUGAUAAUGCCUGGGCAUCUUCUCACUCCUUGUACUCUUGAAAUUCCUUCCAGUGAUUCGCAUGCUUGGCUAGAUACCCCUCGAAUACUGGCACUUUCUUUGUCGUCAGAUAGUUUUUCCAUAGCUUCUUCUUCCAGCUACGGAAUAGUUCGGCCAUCUUCUUUAGAGUCGACUGCUUGACUUUGGCCCUCAGUUUGUCUGCGGCGUCUUCAUUCUCACAUUCUGGCAGGUUGAAAUGUGACAUGAUAUCAUUCCAAAGACUAUCUUUGUACCUUUCGACGACAUAGUCACUAUCGGCUGCCCCUUUGCGCUUGUUCCACUCCCGAACGCUGAUCGGGACGUGAUACCUAACGAGAACUCCGCAUUGCUUCUUGAAUGUGUCAGCAUCAUUCUUAGGAAGCUUGGGUUCACCCGUAGGCAUUAUCAGCUCAAAGGUGUAAUGCGUCNNNNNNNNNNNNNNNNNNNNNNNNNNNNNNNNNNNNNNNNNNNNNNNNNNNNNNNNNNNNNNNNNNNNNNNNNNNNNNNNNNNNNNNNNNNNNNNNNNNNNNNNNNNNNNNNNNNNNNNNNNNNNNNNNNNNNNNNNNNNNNNNUGGAGGCCUAAGAGGGAGAAACAUUCGUCAAAUGAAUGUAUAUGUAUAGAAUAUAGAGCUAUCUCCAAUAUUUUUCACAUAUUACAAGUGAUUGUCGAACUUCAUAUGUAUACCUCGCCGGACUUUAUUAUUUCUUCACCGGCUUAUCCACCGGCUUCUUCAUCAGUGGAGCUAUCACCUUCUCCAUCAUUGGACCUAUCUCCUUUUUCUUCUUUUCUUCUCCUUUUUCUUCUUUUCUUCUCCUUUUUCUUCUUUUCUUCUCUUUUUCCUUCCUUUCUUCUCCUUUUUCUUCUUUUCUUCUCUUUUUCCUUCCUUUCUUCUCCUUUUUCUUCUUUUCUUCUCUUUUUUCUUCUUUGCUUGUGCUGGCCGGAGUGUUGGGGAGGAGGGGGCAUGGGGCUUACCGGCCGGAGGUGUCGACGGCGCGCGGCGAGGAGGACGGCGGCGCGCGGCGAGGAGGACGGGGCGACUCGCGGCGAGCAGGACGGCGGCGGCGAGUANNNNNNNNNNGCCCCAUCGGCUUCAUCUUCGUGUCGCUCGACCUCCAUUCCAUAUCCAUAGUCGUUUAGAUAUGACGUCGGAGAUUCAGCUGGUUCAACGUCGGGGCCGUCUUUGAUUAUAUCUUCGAGAAGUUCUUCCUCUUCGAGGUUCCUGAUAUGUGGAUCCAUAGUUCUGCAAAAAACGGACAUUUGAUUAACUAAUAAACUAACAAACUAUAUAAGAGGGGUUGGAAACUUCGAAGGCUCGUUUUAUAUAGGAGGACCUUUAGUCCCGGGUCUUGGCUAGAACCUAAACUCUAAAAUACCAGCCGGGCGGAGCCCAGUCCCGGACACUUAAGCAUAUACAAUAGCAAAAUUAAACUAGUUCUAUUAAUUUUCUUGCUAAAAAUAAACUAUUAACACUUAAGCAUAUACAAUAGAAAAAUUAAACUAUUAACAAUUAAGCAUAUACAAUAGCAAAAUUAAGCAAUAAUCUAAGAAACACUAUUAACACUUAAGCAUAUACACUAUACAAUAGCAAAAUUAAAUGACAAAAAAAAUAGUUCUUCUUCUUGUAACCCUAAACUAAUUUUUCCUCUUCUUCUAUUUGUCCUCUUCUUCUACUUCUUCUUCUACUUCUACUUCUCCUCUUCUUCUACUACUUCUCCUCUCCUCUUCUUCUAUUUUUCCUCUUCUUCUCCUCUCCUCCUCUUCUUAUUCUCCUUUUUCUUCUUUUCUUCUCCUCCUCUUCUUAUUCUCCUUUUUCUUCCUUUCUUCUCCUUUUUCUUCCUUUCUUCUAUUUUUCUUCCUUUCUUCUCCUUUUUCUUCCUUUCUUCUCCUUUUUCUUCUUUUCUUCUCCUUUUCCUUCCUUUCUUCUCCUUUUUCUUCUUUUCUUCUCUUUUUUAUUCCUUUCUUCUCCUUUUUCUUCCUUUCUUCUCCUUUUUCUUCUUUGCUUGUGCUGGCCGGAGUGUUGGGGAGGAGGGGGUGUGGGGCUUACCGGCCGGAGGUGUCGACGGCGUGCGGCGAGGAGGACGGCGGCGAGCGGCGAGGAGGACGGCGGCGCGCGGCGAGGAGGGCGGCGCGCGGCGAGCAGGACGANNNNNNNNNNNNNNNNNNNNNNNNNNNNNNNNNNNNNNNNNNNNNNNNNNNNNNNNNNNNNNNNNNNNNNNNNNNNNNNNNNNNNNNNNNNNNNNNNNNNCCCGAGUGCGACUUUUAGUGCACACUCGGAGAAAGUUAAUACUUAGGCGAUUCUNNNNNNNNNNGAGUGUAUCUGUAGGAUACACUCGAAGGCAAUUGAGUACUUAGGCGAUUCGUGAUCGCGGCUAAGUCUUCGAGUGCGACUGUAAGGUCGUGCUCAGAGCGAGUUUUUACUCAUGUAAUUGUUAGUGGUGUUGACAUCUACAUGAGCCUCAAUGAGGUUCUGCUACUCAUGUAAUUGUCAGUUGUCUUGACAUCUACAUGAGCCUCACUGAGGGUCUGUUGAGUCCCCAAGUUUAUCUGUAGGAUACACUCAAAGGCAAUUGAGUACUUAGGCGAUUCUGAUCGCGGCUAAGUCUUUGACUGCGACUGUAAGGUCGUGCUCGGAGCGAGUUGUUACUCAUGUAAUUGUCAGUGGUCUUGACAUCUACAUGAGCCUCAAUGAGGUUCUGCUACUCAUGGAAUUGUCAGUUGUCUUGACAUCUACAUGAGCCUCACUGAGGGUCUGUUGAGUCCCCNNNNNNNNNNNNNNNNNNNNNNNNNNNNNNNNNNNNNNNNNNNNNNNNNNNNNNNNNNNNNNNNNNNNNNNNNNNNNNNNNNNNNNNNNNNNNNNNNNNNAGUCUACACUUCUUAAUAUGUCCGAUAGAAAUAUUAAGAUUGAGGCUGAGAAGAAGGUGCAAACUCUUCUCACAGAGAGGAGAUGAAAUGGGCCCUUUGAGCAAAGGUGGCGAAGGUGGACCAUGGAGAUGAUAAAACACAAUUCUUUCACAUGAUUGGGAAUGGCAAACAUAGGAAGAAGAAAAUAAUUCUACUUGAACACGAUGAUGAUACAAUUGUAGGAAAUGAGAACCUAAAAUUGUACAUCUUCGAGUAUUAUAAGAAACUUUUUGGUGCACCCGAAGAGAAUUUUGUUUUUCUGGAUUAGAGCACAACAAGUGACAUUCCUCAACCCAGUUCAGAUGAGAACGAGAUUUUGUCAGCCCCAUUUACGGAUGAAGAGAUGUUUGACGCAAUAUCACAAAUGAAGCAAAAUAAGGCACCGGGACCAGAUGGGUUUCUGAUGGAAUUUUAUAAAAAGUGUUGGCAUAUUAUUAAAGAUGAUAUUUGCAUAUGUUCCAUGAUUUGUUUAAUGGGUAUUUACAUCUAUUCCACCUUAACUUUGGAAUAAUAAUGGUGUUUCUAAAGAAGGUGGAGGCUAUUCGCAUUGAGAAGAUCAGGCUGACUGCUCAAUGCCAGCUUCAAAAAAUUUACAAAGGUUGGCACGAAUAGGUUGACAAAGAUAGCCCAUUCCGUAGUCCAAUCGACCGAGACAACUUUCAUGCAUGGAAGACAUAUCCUAGAAGGGUUCAUUGUUUUGCAUGAAAAGUUGCAUGAAAUACAUAAAAAGAAACUUGAUGGGCUUAUCUUUAAAGUGGAUCUCAAGAAGGCGUACGAUAAGGUCAAAUGGCCAUUUCUUCAACAAGCCUUGUGUAUGAAGGGAUUCAACGAAUCCUAGAGGGAUCAUGUGGGUGCUUUCAUUUAGAAAGGUAGAGUUGGGAUUAAAAUUAAUGAUGACAUAGCUCAUUAUUUUUAGACUCAUAAGGGAUUGAGGCACGGAGAUUUCAUGUCUCCCUUGUUGUUCAACAUAGUAGCAGAUAUGUUGGCACUCCUUAUUGAUCGGGCUAAAGAGAAUGGCCAAGUAGGAGGACUUCCUUGGGGAACGUCGCAUGGGAAACAAAAAAUUUCCUACGCGCACUAAUACGUCCAUUUUGCAUCAUUCUUUCAUGUUGAUAUUUAUUGUUUUUUCGGAUUUUAUAUUACUUCUGGUAGCAUAUUUAUGCCUCUUCUCUCUUAUUUUGCAAGGCUUAUUUGAAGAGGGAGAAUUCAGGCAGCUGGAAUUCAGGACUGGAAAAGGAGCAAAUCCUAGUCCACUAUUCUGCACAUCUCCAAAUACCCUGAAAAUUUACGUGGAUUUUUUCUGGAAUAUAUUAAAAAUACUGGGCGAAAGAACUACCGGAGGGGUCCACCAGGGCCCCACAAGCCCCCACUCCGCCACCAACCCCCCUGGUGGCGGUGGGCAAGCUUGUGUGCUGCCUGAAGGCCCACUAGCCCCCCUCUUUUGCUAUGUGAAGCGUCCUGACCUGGGAAAAAUCAUACGGGAGCUUUUUCGUGGUUUCGCCGUCGCCACGAGGCGGAACUUGAGCACAUCCAAUCUAGAGCUCCGGUAGGACGAUCCCGCCAGGGAAAUUUCCCUCCCGGAGGGGGGGAAUCGUCGCCAUCGUCAUCACCAACACUCCUCUCGUCGGAGGGGAGUCAUCUUCAUCAACAUGUUCAUCAGCACCAUCUCCUCUCCAAUCCCUAGUUCAUCUCUUGUAAUCAAUCUUCGUCUCGCGACUCCGAUUGGUACUUUUAAGGUUGCUAGUAGUGUUGAUUACUCUUUGUAGUUGAUGCUUGUUGGAUUACUUGGUGGAAGAGUUGAUGUUCAUAUCCUUGAUGCUAUUCAUUACACCUCUGGUCAUGAUUAUGAUUAUGUCUUGUGAGUAGAUACUUUUGUUCGUGAGGACAUGGGAUAAGUCAUGCUGAUAAUAGUCAUGUGAAUUUGAUAUUCGUUCGGUAUUAUGAUAUGAUGUAUGUUGUUUUCCCUCUAGUGGUGUUAUGUGAACGUCGACUACAUAACACUUCACCAUGUUUGGGCCUAGAGGAAGGCAUUGGGAAGUAGUAAGUAGAUGAUGGGUUGCUGGAGUGACACAAGCUUAAACCCCAGUUUAUGCGUUGCUUCGUGAGGGGCUGAUUUGGAUCCACUAGUUUAAUGCUAUGGUUAGACUUUGUCUUAAUUCUUCUUUUGUAGUUGCGGAUGCUUGCGAGAGAGGUUAAUCAUAAGUGGAUGCUUUUCCAAGUAAGGGCAGUACCCAAGCGCCGGUCCACCCACAUAUCAAACUAUCAAAGUAACGAACGUGAAUCAUAUGAACAUGAUGAAACUAGCAUGACAGAAAUUCCCGUGUGUCCUCGGGAGCGUUUUUCCUCCUAUAAGACUUUGUUCAGGCUUGUCCCUUGCUACAAAAGGGAUUGGGACACUUGCUGCACUGUUUCUACUACUUGUUACUUGUUACUCUUUGCUUGCUACGUUUCACCUCGCUACACAAUCACCUAUUACCGCUACUUUCAGUGCUUGCAGUUAUUACCUUGCUGAAAUCCGUUUAUCACAGCCUUCUGCUCCUCGUUGGGUUCGACACUCAUACUUAUCGAAAGGACUAUGAUUGAUCCCCUAUACUUGUGGGUCAUCAAGACUCUUUUCUGGCGCCGUUGCCGGGGAGUGAAGCGCCUUUGGUAACUGGAAAUUGGUAAGGAAACAUUUAUAUACUAUGCUGAAAUUUAUUGUCACUUGUCACUAUGGAAACUCUUCCUUUGAGGAGUUUGUUCGGGGUAUAUUCACCACGAACGGAAGCACGAGGAGUUGCUCCUCAACCUGAGGUACCUACUGAAAAUAUCUUUUAUGAAAUUGCUUUGGGUAUGCUUGAGAAACUGCUGGCUAAUCCUUUCACAGGAGAUGGAUCUUCACAUCCAGACUUUCAUCUAAUCUAUGUAGAUGAAGUUUGUGGUUUAUUUAAGCUUGCAGGUUUGCCCGAGGAUGAGGUAAAUAAGAAAGUCUUUCCUUUAUCUUUGAAGGAUAAGGAGUUGACAUGGUAUAGGCUAUGUGAUGAUGAUGGAUCAUGGGGCUACAAUCGGUUGAAAUUGGAAUUUCAUCAAAAGUUCUAUCCUAUGCAUUUAGUACAUCGUGAUCGGAACUUUAUUUAUAACUUUUGGCCUCGUGACAGGGAAAGCAUAGCUCAAGCUUGGGGAGGCUUAAAUCAAUGAUAUAUUCAUGCCCCAAUCAUGAGCUCUCGAGAGAAAUCAUCACUCAAAACUUUUAUGCUCGGCUUUCUCAUGAAGAUCGUACCAUGCUUGACACUUCUUGUGCCGAUUCUUUUAUGAAGAAGGAUAUUGAUCACAAGUGGAAUUUAUUGGAGAGAAUCAAACGCAACUCCGAAGAUUGGGAGUUGGAGGAAGGUAAGGACUCAGGUAUGAAUUUCCAGUUUGAUUGCGUUAAAUCUUUUGUUGAGACAAACACUUCUAGAGAUUUUAGCGCUAAGUAUGGACUUGACUCUGAGAUAGUAGCAUCUCUUUGUGAAUCUUUUGCUGCUCAUGUUGAACUUCCCAAAGAGAAGUGGCAUCCUCCUGUAGAAAGCAACAUAGCCUAAACCAAUCUAGUUGAGGAGAAAAUCAUAGCUUUUAGUGAUCCUGUUGUUCCUUGUGCUUACACUAAGAAACCACCAUCCCCUGCUAGAAUGAAGGAUUAUUCUAAAGCUCCAACUGUGAUAUGUAGGGGUUACAUUAGACCACUUGCACCCCCUGAGGAGAUUAGAGUUGAACCUAGUGUUGCUAUUAUCAAAGAUCUCUUAGCCGAAGACAUAGAUGGGCAUGUUAUUAAAUUCUGUGAGGACUCUGCUAGAAUUGCUAAACCUCACGCGAAAGACAAGCAUGGACCUGUAGUUGGCCUUCUCGUUGUUUCUGUUAAGAUAGGAGAUCACUGCUACCAUGGUUUAUGUGAUAUGGGAGCUAGUGUUAUUGCAAUACCCCGUUAUCUCUAUGAUGAAAUCAAAGAUGAGAUUGCACCUGCUGAGAUAGAAUCCAUUGAUGUCACUAUCACGCUAGCUAAUAGAGACACUAUCUGCCCUUUGGGAAUUGUGAGAGACGUAGAAGUCCUGUGUGGUAAGACGAAGUAUCCUACUGAUUUCCUCCUCCUCGGUACUGCACAAGAUAGCUUUUGUCCCAUCAUAUUUGGUAGACCCUUUCUCAACACUGUCAAUGCUCACAUUGAUUGCAUUAAGCAGACUGUCACAGUAAGUUUUGAGGGUGUGUCUCAUGAAUUUAACUUCUCCAAGUUUGGAAGACAACCCCAUGAAAGAGAGUCGUCUGGUAGAGAUGAAAUCAUUUCUCUUGCCUCUAUUGCCGUACCUCCUACGGAUCCUUUAGAGCAAUAUCUUGAGCAUGAAAAUGAUAUGCAUAUGGAGGAGAGAGAUGAGAUAGAUAGAAUUGUCUUAGAACAACAUCCUAUUCUCAAGAAUAAUCUGCCUGUUGAACUGCUUGGGGAUCCUCCCCCACCUAAGGGUGAUCCUGUGUUCGAGCUUAAAUAGUUGCCUGAUACUCUUAAGUAUGCCUAUCUUGAUGAGAAGGAUAUAUAUCCUGUCAUUAUCAGUGCCCUCCUCUCAGAGCUCGAAGAGAAGAAGUUACUAAAAACUCUGAGGAAGCACCGCGCUGCUAUUGGAUAUACUCUUGAUGAUCUUAAUUAAGGGUAUUAGUCCUACUCUAUGUCAGCACAAGAUUAAAACCGAUCCUGACUUUAAACCAGUUGCUGAUCAUCAAAGGAGAUUGAAUCCUAAGAUGAAAGAGGUCGUUAGAAAAGAAAUAUUAAAGCUUCUGGAAGCAGGAAUCAUUUAUCCUGUUGCUCAUAGUGAUUGGUAAGUCCAGUACAUUGCGUACCUAAGAAGGGAGGUAUCACCGUCGUUCCUAAUGAUAAGGAUGAACUAAUCCCACAAAGGAUUAUUACCGGCUAUAGAAUGGUGAUAGACUUCCGGAAACUGAACAAGGCAACCAGGAAAGAUCAUUAUCCUUUGUCGUUCAUCGACCAAAUGCUAGAAAGGCUAUCAAAACACACACACUUCUGCUUUCUAGACGGUUAUUCAGGUUUCUCGUAGAUACUUGUUGCACAAUCUGAUCAAGAGUAAACCACUUUCACCUGCCCUUUCGGUACCUUUGCCUAUAGACGUAUGCCUUUUGGCUUAUGCAAUGCACCCGCCACCUUCCAAAGAUGUAUGAUGGCUAUAUUCUCUGACUUCUGUGAAAAGAUUGUCGAGGUUUUCAUGGAUUACUUCUCCGUUUAUGGGUCUUCCUUUGAUGAUUGCCUCAGCAACCUUGAUGGAGUCUUACAGAGAUGCGAAGAAACCAACCUCGUCUUGAAUUGGGAGAAGUGCCACUUUAUGGUUAAUGAAGGUAUCGUCUUAGGACACAAAAUCUCUGAAAGAGGCAUUGAAGUUGAUAAGGCUAAGGUUGAUGCAAUUGAUAAAAUGCCUUGCCCCACAGAUAUCAGAGGUAUACGAAGUUUCCUAGGUCAUGCUGGUUUGUAUAGAAGGUUCAUUAAAGACUUAUCUAAGAUUUCUAGGCCUCUUACCAACCUCUUGCAGAAGGAUGUUCCUUUUGUUUUUGAUGAGGAUUGUGAGGAAGCCUUCGAAAUACUUAAGAAGGCUUUGAUAACCGCACCUAUUGUUCAACCACCUGACUGGAACUUGCCCUUUGAAAUCAUGUGUGUCGCUAGUGAUUACGCUGUUGGUGCUGUUCUAGGACAAAGAGUUGACAAGAAGUUGAAUGUCAUUCACUACGCUAGUAAAACUCUAGACAGUGCCCAAAGAAACUAUGUCACUAUGGAGAAGAAAUUUUUAGUAGUCGUGUUUGCAUGUGAAAAAACAGAUCUUACAUAGUUGACUCCAAAGUCACUAUUCACUCUGAUCAGUCUGCUAUUAAGUACCUUAUGCAGAAGAAGGAUGCUAAGCCUAGGCUGAUCAGAUGGGUUCUCCUGCUACAGGAAUUUGAUUUGCACGUCGUUGACCGAAAAGGUGCUGACAAUCCUAUAGCAGAUAACUUGUCUAGACUAGAGAAUGUCCGUGAUGACCCACUACCAAUUGAUGACAGCUUUCCUGAUGAGCAAUUAAAUGUCAUCCGCACUUCACUUAGUGCACCGUGGUAUGCCGAUUAUGCAAACUAUAUCGUAGCCAAAUACAUACCACCCAGUUUCACCUAUGAACAAAAGAGGAAAUUCUUCGUUGAUUUGAGACACUACUUCUGGGAUGAUCCUCACCUUUAUAAGGAAGGAGUAGAUGGUGUUAUUAGACGUUGUGUGCCUGAACAUGAACAGGGACAGAUCCUGCAGAAGUGUCAUUCCGAAGCCUACGGAGGACACCAUGCUGGAGAUAGAAUUGCCCAUAAGGUAUUGCAAUCAGGUUUCUAUUGGCCCACUCUCUUCAAGGAUGCCCGUAAGUUUGUCUUUUCUUGUGACGAAUGCCUAAGGAUAGGGAACAUCAGUAAGCGUCAAGAGAUGCCUAUGAACUAUUCACUUGUCAUUGAACCAUUUGAUGUCUGGGGCUUUGAUUAUAUGGGACCCUUCCCGAGUUCCGAUGGGUACACUCACAUCUUAGUUGCUGUGGAUUACGUUACUAAGUGGGUAGAAGCUAUCCCCACUAAAAAUGCUGAUCACCACACCUCUAUUAAGAUGCUUAAAGAAGUCAUAUUCCCAAGAUUUGGAGUCCCUAGAUACUUGAUGACUGAUUGCGAUUCACACUUCAUUCAUGGUGUUUUCCGCAAGAUGCUAGCUAAGUAUGAUGUCAACCAUAGAGUUGCAUCUCCUUAUCAUCCUCAGUCUAGUGGUCAAGUGGAGUUGAGUAAUAGGGAGAUCAAAUUGAUCCUACAAAAGACCGUCAAUAGAUCUCGAAAGAACUGGUCAAGCAAACUUGACGAUGCACUAUGGGCUUAUAGGACUGCUUAUAAGAAUUCCAUGGGCAUGUCACCGUAUAAAAUGGUUUACGGUAAAGUCUAUCAUUUACCUCUUGAGCUGGAACACAAAGCUUAUUGGGCAAUCAAAGAGCUCAACUUUGAUUUCAAACUUGCUGGUGAGAAGCGGUUGUUUGAUAUCAGCUCGUUGGAUGAAUGGAGAGCCCAGGCAUAUGAGAAUGCCAGGUUGUUCAAGGAAAAGGUUAAGAGAUGGCACGACAAACGAAUACAGAAACGAGAGUUCAAUGUAGGUGAUUAUGUCUUGCUAUACAAUUCUCGUUUGAGAUUCUUUGCACGCUAGCUUCUCUCUAAAUGGGAAGGUUCCUAUGUUGUCGAGGAAGUAUAUCGUUCCGGUGCCAUCAAAAUCAAUAACACGGAAGGAAAUUUUCCUAGAGUGGUAAAUGGGCAAAGAAUCAAGCAUUACAUCUCUGGUACUCCCAUAAAUGUUGAGACCAAUAUCAUCAAUGUCAUAACUCCAGAGGAGUACAUAAGGGAUGUUUAUCAGCCUGUUUCAGACCUUGAAAACGAAGAUGUAUCUGUUUCGGCAAGAAAUUGGACUCCGAUAUUUUGUACGCAAGUAUGCAUGAUUGAAUGAAUCAUGAUACGAUCAACGUAUUUUGGCAUUCACUUUCUACAUCUUGUUUUUGUUCUUUUUUUCUUGUUUCUAUCAUUGUGGCACUCGGAUGGAUGGCGACGCUUCUUUUUUGAGUUCAUCUUCCAGGCUUCGAUUCUCAUUAAGUCUGUCCGUCUGGACAUAGUCGACGGAGCUACUGCGUAGAAUCAUGUUGUCUUCUUCUCGUGACGAGGUUAUGGUUUCUCGUCAUAUGACGAGAUUUGGUGUCAUUGCUUCAGAUCAAUGAAAUGGUUCUAUAGCGACGACUACGGUCCCAGGGUUUGGUCCUUACGUGCAUCUGGAGGAAGAUAUCUCGGAUGUCAUCGUCAGUGUCAAGUUGGCUCCGGUAGGGGAGCGGUGACAGCGAUGCAUCGUCGACACGUUCUAUCAGUUAAGUGGUUAUUCGGUGGUUUCGGAAUCUCAUUCUAAUUUUUAUUAUGUUUGAGAUGCUUUGUAUUUUCGAUGAACGUUUAUAAAAGAUCUGAUACUUUGCUUAAAAAUGAAUGAAAAAUGAUCCUUCCCCAUCGACUCUACUUCCGCUGCGCUACGAGUCGGUAAUGAUCAGAUAAAACCCUGUAUGCAUCUCCUUAGUGGUCCUGGGCGUGCUCGUAGUACCGAAAUUUUUUGUUUUCUAUCGCGUUCCUCUACAGUGGAAUCAUGAGCUAAGCUAUGGGUAGAUGGAGGUUAUGAUCUAGAAUACAUGAGAUGUAUGGGUAUAGCAUAGUAUAAUUUUGUAGUAGAUGAGAUCUAUUGCUGAAAAUUAUAUGUGCGGGUAGUAGAUGAAAUCUAUUACCCAAUAUUCUUGUUGCUUCGCGUGAAUUUGUGUGGUCCUGAUCCUGACGGCAUGGUGGAAUCUUACAAAGUUUUGGCAAUCCGCGAUCCUUUCAUGCUGCUCUUGAGUAUGUUGAUUGAUAGAUCACCGAAGUGCUUCAGUGCUUUUGGGUUCCACCAUAGUUGAGAAAGAUGGAUGUUUCGCAGACGAAAGGGAAAUGCAGAUAUGAUCUGCACGGGGGUCAUGCAUAUGACGAAGUUUAGUAUGGGGCUUGAGCUUUUAUUAUCUCGUGUUUCAUACACCUUGGAAAGUUAAUCUAGCAACUUGAAUUAUUAUACCUGAUGAUGAACGUUGGUAGCUGCAGUUUAAGUCAAAAACAUAGAAGCCAUGUAAAAAUAAAAUUUUGCAUUAACCAAUUAGAGGCGUCUAACUUGAUUUUACAGAAUGUGCAUGAGAUGUGGUAUAACAAUUCUCAUAUUCAACUUGAUUACGUAUGAGAUGACUAUAUAAUGUAAAUUAACAUGACCUGUGUGUCAUGAUUCUGCAUGAUGGCUGGAGCCAUAUGAUUGUCACUUUAAUGACAUGUGUUUCGACAUUAAGUAAUGCAUUUAUUUUACCAGCUAUAGAGAUAGCAAUAUUAUUUGAUGCGUCGAAAAGGUGGUGGCAAUAUUAUCUGAUGUGUACAUAUAUUUGUGCUAACCCUUUUCAAGUAUCCACACAACAUUUUUUUAUAAAUUGUGUACUUUUUCUUGGGUUUUAACUCAUCCUAAGUUGUUGUUCCCAUGAUCUUCGUGGGAAACCGUCUACUAUGUAGCUUCUCAUCCUGAAAAAAGGACCAGUUUUUGUAAGGUUGUUGUGUUCUUGGUUCUUUCACAAAAGUAUUGACUAGAUACUCUGCCUCUUUCUCUGAUAUCGGGCUUUCAACUCUCUAGUUAGGGUCAAAGGCUUAGAAUGUUACUCAUUAUGUAAACGAAUAUAAGACAGUUUAGAUCACUAUUAGCAUCUAAAAUGUUAAUAGUGACUCCCUAUAUAAACCAACAAAAGAACCCUUACGUUCUUUAUAUCAAGAUGGCAUUAGCAAUAGAACACUUACGUUACAAUGGGGCAGAAAAAUACCGCACAUCCUUAAUCCAAUAACCAUGACUCAAGGCUGCAUUCGGUCCACGUGGAUACCGUUUGUGUUGCGGCUUAUCCUCAUUACAACCCUUGCCGACAGUGGCCUCAGUCCUCAAACAACCACAACACGUUUGAAUGUGAUCAAUCCUAACGUGUAUUGCUCUCUCUCGGCAUCAAAUGAGAAAUCUUCUUUAUUUUCCCCUUGCAAGGUUUUGUCGAGGCUUGCUUGCGAGGCUAUAGAUGAUUUGUUUUGUCUCCAAUGUGGUUUUGCUAAGGUGCGAUUUCUAUUCCGUUACUACACUGUUUUCAAAGAAAGACGAACCGUGAGCUAUUGAUUAAGAUGGCAACCUAAAUAAUAUUUUAAAAGUGUUUAACAGGUAAAACAAAAUCACAUUCAGAUUCUAUAAUUCUUCUAAUUAAUCUUCAUCUAUAACAUGUCAAAAUUGAAGUUCGGGUUUAAAAGAUAUGGAUGUUCUUAAAAGUAUUUUAAUCAGCCCAUGGAGUUUGGGUUUAUUGAACAAAAUAUCGUUCUGAAAAACAUAGAAGAUUUUCUGGAGUCACUCAAAACAGGACAGUGGGUCGUUUAACCGAAAGGUUAAGAAGUUUUCAGUUAAAAAAAUAAAUAUUUUUUAUAUUCACUUAAAACCAGGACCGUGCGUUGAUUUCAUGAAACAAUAGGGUUUUUUCUUUGCAAAAGGCGCGACGGAUGGGUAGAAACAUUUCUCCUUUUAUUAGUAGGUAAAGACUAGUGAUCAAGAAUGUAUUAUACUCCCUUCAUUUCUAAAUAUAAGUGUUUUUAGAGAUUUCACUAAAAACUAUAUACGGAUGUAUAUAGACACAAUUUAGAUUGUAGAUUCAUUCAUUUUGCUUAAUAAUGGAGGAAGUAUUAGUUUACAGAUGUAGUGUCUUUAUGUGGCUAGCGAAAUACCAACAAUAUCUACAUGAUUAAAUGGAUGUGCCUAUAUGUGCAAUUCAGAGAGCUUGAGAGAGCAAGUUUUGGAUGAAUCCACCUUACUAUAUCCUAGUACAUCCAUCACACGUACAGCUAGCUAGGGAACCCUGACGCAAUGACGUGCAUAUAUAGAUAUGAGGCAACCCUGCCGACAUGGAAAACUAUAUGUCCAUGUGAACACUUGACUGGUCAUACUACACUACAAGAAAAUAGAAUAACCACACACGCAAUGUAUAUCAGAAUACCAGCACCGCGUAGACUUCACUAAUUGCAUGACAGGUCGAUCGACUUGCAUGUCCCAUGGAAAUGACUGGCCUAGGAUCACAGCAGUGGGGUGUCAGUUCGUAAAAUUUAACUUAAGUACCAUCUUAGUUUUAACAAAUAGUCCUAAAAUGGCACAAAGUUGUCAGAGAAUUAUAGCGAAUAUAGUAUAAAGUAGUUUGCAUUUUUUAGAGGAGUGCCACAGCCAUGGCAGUAUGGCACCUCAAGAUCUGCAGCUGUUUCGUGUAUUGGAGCUAAAUAAUGAGUGCAACAUUUCGGUGUCCUCUGCAUCCGGUUAGGAAAAAAAUCAUAAAAAACUUCAAAAAAUGCCAAUAAAAUCAAAAAAAAUCUCAUGGUAGAAAAGUUUUUGCGUGAGGUCCGCUCCAAUUUUUAGAUUAUUUGAACAUCUGAUAAGCUCUCAGCAAAAAAGAUAAAUUGGAUCAGAACAGUGUAUGAACCAUAACUUUUUUAUGAACCCUGAAUUUGUCUUUUUUUCUGAGAGAUGCUGAGAUGUUUAAAUGAUUUAAAAACUGAAGGGGCCUUUACCAUCAAAUUAUCUACAACGUAAAAAAAUCUAGUAUUUGUUUUGAUUUUAUUUUCUUCGGCGCGGGGUGCAGAUGAGCCUGGGCUCGGAAGUGGAUUAUCGCUAAAUAAUAUGUUGUUUUGUCAAAAGAAAGAUAGGACCCCCAGCCUCUGCAACCUCUGCAUUAUGAUGAUGCACACAACCAUAUUUAUUAAAGUUGAUGUAAGGGGCAGAGAACAAAAUUAUCAAUAAGUGUAGUACAUAACUAUUACAAGAUGUGAAUUUAACACUUAGGACUAAAUCGACUUCUUUCGCAAGACUUCAGUAAGGAAAAGACGCCCUCACAUCAUCGUCAUCACAUUCGACCGGAGACGUCUAGGACACGAAUUUCCAUCCUAGUAGCCCAACCAAGGCCGGGCGGGUCGCUGUUGGAUAUGAAUCCUGCAACUACCCUUGUUGGGCCAGUGGCUCCAGUCGAAGGCGCGAGAUGGCACAACUGCCCCGUCUACUUUAACGGGACCAUGAAGGCGCCUCAAAGCGCCAGCAUCACUCGCCAUGAGGAGCUCUCGAAGAUGGACUUGAGAGAAGGGGAGCGCUUACACGAUUUUGCUCAAGGAGAGGGGGAGCGCUUACACGAUUUUGCUCAAGGAGAGGGUGCAUCGUAAAAUCGCACGGUCUCCUAGAUUAGGGGGUAUUAACCUGGUCGGUCCACGCUCCUCGAAUUGGGCCGAUGGGCCAUCAUCCUACUCGAGGUGGACUCCGGAAGCUGCACAUUGGGUGUUAUCAAGGUUACAUCUGCCGAAGGCUUGACAUAUACUUCAAGACUCCUCCUCCCGCCUCUAUGUUAGGAUACCGACCUUGUAGCCCUAGAUAUCCUACGUAGGGUUUUACCUUCAUCAAGAGGGCUCGAACCUGGAUAAACAUCGUCUCCCUGUUCCUGUUAUCAUUUGUCCAACAUCAACAGCUUGGGGCCUCCUACCCCGAGGUCUACCGGUUUUCACACCCACUGUGUUCUCUCAAGAAAAAAAUGCUAUAUUUUUUUAACCGGUCUAACCCCCUUUCCAUUACUUGAAUAACGAAAUACAUCAGAUCCUAGAGUUCAACAGGAGGAGGGAAAGGAGAUAGAGCGAGUUCAACCAUUGCUAGGAAACCCACUGUGACCGCUCGUCAUCGAAUCGAUCACUGCGAGACGAAAACCUAGCUACAAUAUCCUAGCGGGAGAAGUAUCAUUCCUAUUACAACCUAGGAAUAAUAGGUACAAAAGAGAUAAUAGACUAAACAGUUUUUAAGUAUGUCAGAACACCACAAAAAGACUGCCAGCAGCCACCCUUGCAAAAGUGCAUCGUCCCCAUACCUCCGCUGUUCAUCCACGGCCAGCAUUGCACAGCCUCAUCAGUGACACAGUCCCCGCCCGAACAACUUCAGUUCCGGUUCGCAUCCUCUUCAUGUCGCCUGCUGGCUGCAAACCUGCCCAAUAAAGAAGGAAAGAGCAAUCAGUAAACACAAUCUCAAAUGAAGAUUUGAUCGGUUUUUUCUCCAAGGUAGGUGGAUUCCGAGCUAACCAAAUAGCCCAGGUAAUUGCAGCCAAGCCCACCGUAUAGAAUUUAUCAUCUCCAGGCAUGAAACAAUGGGACCAGGCAAAGUAUUGUCAGUGGUUGUUGGGUCCAAAAUAUGUCCCCAAACAAACCCCAGCCGAACGCCAUAACGCCAUAACUCUACAAAAAAGUGAUAUAAUGUGUAACUAUUUUGUUCAAGUCGAGCAGAUGGACUCUAUCUUGCACCAUAGCGUUUAAGCAGUAUUGAAAUUAGGUCCGCCUAUACAUCAAGUAUCUUGGGAAAAAAAACUGCAUCGAUCAAUUUUCCCAGCAGUUGGAUGGCACGAUCGUGGCACCACCUAUUAUCGUUUUCGCCCCUCACAUCGUACCUCCGUUCGGCCUCGCACAAAACAAAUUGUGUCUGACGCAAAGAAAAAAUGUAGGUACCUGAUGUUUAUCUAAACAAAUUGUGUGUUGGAUUAACUACUUAUUAUACAACAAGCUGAAGGUAUGUGUCCAGCCGUGCCAACGAGCCCGUACGGAAGAUAUAAUAGACACAUGAAAUCAAAGACAUACAGCUCGGAUAUGCGUCUCCCGUGAACGUGAUGAUCAGGGUAAGCCAGCUCCUAGAGCUGCCNNNNNNNNNNACAGAUGGACUCUAUCUUGCACCACAGCGUUUAAGCAGUAUUGAAAUUAGGUCGAGCAUAUGGUUUUCGCCCCUCACAUCGUACCUUCGUUCGGCCUCGCACAAAACAAAUUGUGACUGACGCAAAAAAAAAAUUCAGGUACCUGAUGUUUAUCAAAUGUGUGGAAUUCUUCGUCGGCACAACCAAUGGCGUCCUGGAUUAACUAAUUAUUAUACAACAAGCUGAAGGUAUGUGUCCAGCCGUGCCAACGAGCCCGUACGGAAGAUAUAAUGGACACAUGAAAUCAAAAAACCAUACAGCUCGUAUAUGUGUCUCCCGUGAACGUGAUGAUCAGGGUAAGCCAGCUCCGAGAGCUGCCAUGCCAGAUAUAUAUAUUCCUUUGUCCGAUGCGAUGCUCUAGAUUAUUUUGGCUCCACACUCGUAAAUCCAUCAAAUAUUUAUGUGCACUCUGCAGCAGACAACAUGCACAUAGGAGUACUCUUCUUGAAAANNNNNNNNNNUUUGAGAGCUCCCGUGAACCUUUGUCCGAUGUGAUGCUCUAAAUUAUUUUGGCUCCACACUCGUAAACCCAUCAAAUAUUUAUUUGCACUCUGCAGCAGACAACAUGCACAUAGGAGUACUCUUCUUGAAAACUAAAGGAAAGUCUCGUGGCACAGCUCUCAGGUUUUUGUUCAUUAGCGAACACAUUAAGCUCUAAUGAUGGAUGUCACACGUAACAUGCCAGUACAAUAAUGGUUGCACAUGAGUUUUGGAAAUUACCACGGCAACAGGCAAACUAACUACGUCGAUUGAUAAUGACAUGAACGAGGCACUUGCACNNNNNNNNNNCAAUGAUGGAUGUCACACACGUAACAUGCCAGUACAAUAAUGGUUGCACAUGAGUUUUGGAAAGUACCACGGCAACACGCAAACUAACUACGUCGAUUGAUAAUGACAUGAACGAGGCACUUGCACNNNNNNNNNNCUCGAUUGAUGAUGACAUGAAGGCACUUGCACACCACACCCGGUCUAUAAGUACCACCCCCAAACAACCCAAGAAAACCAUCCCAAGCUAGCAUACCCUACAAGCUUAAUUAGCCACAUACCAGCACAAACGAUCAGUAGCAAUNNNNNNNNNNUCUGUCCCAACAGCACUUGCACACCCCACCCGGUCUAUAAGUACCACCCCAAACAACCCAAGAAAACCAUCCCAAGCUAGCAUAGCCUACAAGCUUAAUUAGCCACAUACCAAAGGGCCUCCUGCCUGGGCUCACCGCACCGGCCACGUGGAGGCCCAUCUGUCCCGGUUUAUGCAAGAACCGAGACUAAAGGUUUAGGGCAUUAGUACCGACACUUUAGUCCCGGUUCAAAAAACGGGACAAAUGGCCCUCACGAACCGGGACAAUAGGUCCUUUUUCUACUAAUGGGAUAAGCUCUUUUGCAUUGUAGCUCGCUGGACGGUGUGGUUUAACUUUAGGUUUGUCCUUGUGAUGUUCGUGCUAUGCAUCAAGUGAUAGCUNNNNNNNNNNNNNNNNNNNNNNNNNNNNNNNNNNNNNNNNNNNNNNNNCUGGACACAUGGAAUCAAAACCGUACGAGACUCCUAUAUGUGUCUCCCGUGAACGUGAUGAUCAGGGUAAGCCAGCUCCUAGAGCUGCCAUGCCAGAUAUAUGUAUAUAUUCCUUUGUCCGAUCCGGUGCUCCAGAUUAUUAUGGCCACACUUGUAAGCCCAUCAAAUAUUUAUGUACACACAGCAGACAACAUGCAUAUAGGAGUANNNNNNNNNNAUGGACACAUGGAAUCAAAAUCGUACGACUCCUAUUUGUGUCUCCGUGAACGUGAUGAUCAGGGUAAGCCAGCUCCUAGAGCUGCCAUGCCAGAUAUAUCUAUUCCUUUGUCCGAUCCUGUGCUCCAGAUUAUUAUGGCCACACUUGUAAGCCAUCAAAUAUUUAUGUACACACAGCAGACAACAUGCAUAUAGGAGUACUCUUCUUGGAAACAAAAGGAAACUCUCAUGGCACAGCUCUCAAGUUUUUGUUCAUUAGCGAACAGAUUAAGCUCCAAUGAUGGAUGUCACACCCGUAACAUGCGAGUACAAUAAUGGUUGCACAUGAGUUUUGGAAAUUACCACGGCAAGAUUGAAACUAAUUACGUCGAUUGAUAAUGACAUGAACGAGGCAUUUGUUGGAAAUAAGUCGUGACGGAGCACGGUGCGACCGGCGUCGAUGCGUCGGGUCGGGUCCGUGACGGUGCGACCGACGUUGGUGCGUCGGGUCGGGUUCCGCAGGCUGGGUUACGACAACAUUGUGUGCAUGUACGUGUGGCGUGUGUGUAGUGCAGCGCAAAGCGUGCGUGGUCGCCAAGGCAGCUCGAGCUGGCCGUUAGCACGUUGUGCGCCUCGUGCGUGCUGGCCGGGCGGAUCGCUAGCUCUAGGUGCGUGCGUGCGUAGGAGACGUGGACGCUGCGUACCUGUAGGACUACAAAGCCGCGGACGCGAACAUGUAUUCAUCAGGGAAAGGAAGCAAAGUGGCUGUGUGUGCGGCCAGGCGUUAGUCGCCGGAAAAACUCCAGUGUGCAUUCUCCUUUCUUCUACCUCUGUCCAGUUGUGUGUGAGAGANNNNNNNNNNUCGAGUUCGUCGCUUGCCGCGCCGGGCAGGAGAACGAGAGGAAGAAGAAGAGAAAUGGAUGAUUUGGUUCGAAAUUUUCUAACUCCCGCUUAUACAGGUGGAUCUACAGUCCCGAUUCGUGGCUCGAUCCGGGACUAAAGAUCCUUUAGUCCCGGAUGGAGCCACGAACUGGGACUAAAGGCCCUUUUUCGGCUGACCAGAAGGCGGGAAGCAGGGGCCUUUAGUCCCGGGGCGUGGCUCGAACCGGGACUAAAGACCACUUUAGUCCCGGGUGGAGCCACGACCCGGGACUAAAGCCCCUUUUUCGGCUGACCAGAAGGCGGGAAGCAGGGGCCUUUAGUCCCGGGGCGUGGAAAGAACCGGGACUAAAGUUUUGCCUAUAUAAACCCUCGCCCCUGCCCACCAUAUCCCCUGUUUUUUGGUUGUUGAAGUGUGACCAUGCCAUGCUCUUGCCACUCUAGUUCAUGCACAUGACGUGUUCGAUGAAAUGCUCGAGCCACUCUACUUAAGCUUUCUCCUCUCCAAGCUCGACCUCCAAGCUCCAUUUUCCUUAAUAUUUGUCUAGGUUUGGCCGUGCACCAACUGCGAGCACCACCGUGGUGAGCCUCUUGUUCUUAUCUUCUUUUUAAAAUUAAAAAAAUCUUACUUGUAUGAAUUAUAUACAUACUUGUAUAAAUUACUCACUUUCAUUAUUUUUUGUUAUGAUAUAGUGCGAUGGUUUUGGUAUCCGCCUCCGUCGGCCCUCGUCCUGUCUAUGAUUCGGAUGUGGUAUAUAUUAUAUUUUAUAACUAUUUGUUUUAUUUAGUGUUUAUGACAAUUAUGACAUAUAUUUUUUAAUCUAGGAGGUAUGUGAACCGGAAAUUCCAACCCACAUAAAAAUUCUUGUCGAGAAGUUCAAUUUGGUUGAAAAAGAAAACAAAUACUUGAAGAAAAAAUUGAAAAUAAUUGAGGAUAAGAAUAUGGAACUGGAGUUGCAUGUCGCCGAUGUCAUCGAUGAUUGCAAGAUGAAGAUCGAUGCGAUGCGGUUGAAGAUGGAUGCAAUGCGCUUGAAGAUGGAUGAAAUGCGCUUGAAGAUUAGGAAUAUUAGAAAAUAUGCCAUUGAUAAGGAGGUUGGUAUCAUUAUGUUGUUGGGUCAAUUGUUACCUUAGUGCGAUUUUGAUCGCGUUUGUUGUUGCAUUUAAAUGUUUUACAUAGUUGUAUGUUGUUUCAUGAGAGAACUUUAUGUAUUUAUUUUUUGCAAUAAUAACAUUUGGUCACUACUGUUCUUUGGCUUUAAUGUGAUGAUGAACUUGUAUUAAUUUGGUCAUAUGUUUUGCAAUGGUUUUUUAAUAUAUUUGAUUUCAUAAUAGAGAUGAAUCGCCAAUGAUAAUAUUUAAUUUCAUAAUAUGGUUUUUUGAACUCCAUAAAAAGUUGAGAGGGCUACGACAAAAACUAGAUGCACUUCGUGUACAAAACGGACAAUCUCUCUCGAAGUAUCAGGGUUUCGAACGAGAACUUGUCUCUUACAAAGGGAUUUCAUUUUUGUGAACUUAUUUGAACUCCAUACUUUUUGGUGUGUUCAAAAUGCACCAUUCAAAGGCACAACACAAAAUUUCAACAAUUUCUGACUUCAUUUGGUAUAUUUCGUGGAUUUACUUAUUUGUUUUGAGCUAGUUGACCCUGAAAUUGAAAAGCACUACAAAUGAACUCUGAAAAUGUUGAAAGUUGGCAUGCUAUCAUCAUUUCACCCACAUAGCAUGUGCUAAAAAGUUGAGAGGGCUACGACAAAAACUGGAUGCACUUCGUGUACAAAACGGACAAUCUCUCUCGAAGUAUCAGGGUGUCGAACGAGAACUCAUCUCUUACAUGGAUAAUAUGAAAAUGAAAAGUGUUUGAAAUUUAGUACGUUCCAUACAUGCAUUACAUAAAAGGUUUAAUANNNNNNNNNNUUGGAUGCACUUCGUGUACAAAACGGACAAUCUCUCUCGAAGUAUGAGGGUUUCGAACGAGAACUCAUCUCUUACAUGGAUAAUAUGAAAAUGAAAAGUUUUUGAAAUUUAGUACGUUCCAUACAUGCAUUACAUAAAAGGUUUAAUACAUUAUUACAUUAUUGCACCAAUAUUCCUAUCUAUUAUUUCUGUUUUAUUCUGGGUCAUAGCCAUGGAGAAUCUUCAUCAUUCAUUAGGAUGCUUGGGUCAUUUUUCACUUUGAAGGGCGGAAUUUCAUGAAACUUAUUAUAAUCUUCUGNNNNNNNNNNCUUUUCUUCUGGGUCGUAGCCAUGGAGAAUCUUCAUCAUUCAGUAGGAUGCUUGGGUCAGUUUUCACUUUGAAGGGCGGAAUUUCAUGAAACUUAUUAUAAUCUUCUGACAUGUCUGUCUUGUCAUCUACUCCCACGAUGUUUCUUUUCCCUGAAAGAACCAUGUGGCGUUUUGGCUCAUCGGAUGAUAUCUUCUUUUGCUGAUUUCUUUUUCUCGUUAAUGUAGACAUGUCCUUCACAUAGAAAACCUGAGCGACAUCAUUGGCUAGGACAAAUGGUUCGUCCAUGUACGCAAGAUUGUUAAGAUCCACUGUUGUCAUGCCGUACUUUUGGUCUACAACUAACCCGCCUCCUCUCAGUUUCACCCAUUUGCACCGAAAUAAAGGAAUCAUAAAAGUAGGUCCAUAGUCAAGUUCCCAUAUCUCCUCUAUGUACCCGUAAUAUGUUUCCAAACAGUGCCCAUUCUCGUCUGUUGCAUCAAAGCAUACACCACUAUUUUGGUUGGUGCUCUUUUUAUCUUGGGCAACCGUGUAAAAUGUAUUCCCAUUUAUCUCAUACCCUUGCAAAGUACAUAUAGUCGAAGAUGGUGGCCUGGCCAAACAGUACAGCUCAUCUCCAACGGUGUCGUCAUUCAGGAGAUGUGUCUGCAACCAACUNNNNNNNNNNGAAAGUACAUAUAGUCGAAGAUGGUGGCCUGGCCAAACAAACAACUCAUCUCCAACGGUGUCGUCAUUCAGGAGAUGUGUCUGCAACCAACUGCCGAAAGUCUUCUCGUGUUCCCCUUUAAUCCAAGAGUCAGCCUUCCCCGGGUUUUCGGAGCGUAGAAUAUUCUUGUGUCUCACGAUAUACGGAGCCACCAUGGUGGAAUUGUGUAGAACUGUGUAGUGUGCUUGAGAGAAAGAAUGCUCGUCCAUACAUACUUUUGCUUUCCUUCCUAGUGUGCCUUUUCCUGUCAGCCUACCCUCAUACCGAGAUUCAGGAACACCAAUCGGCUUAAGGUCAGGAAGAAAGUCCACACAAAACUCAAUGACCUCCUCUGUUCCAUAGCCCUUGGAGAUGCUUCCUUCUGGCCUAGCACGGUUACGAACAUAUUUCUUUAAGACUUCCAUGGACCUCUCGAAGGGGAACAUAUUGUGUAGAAACACAGGACCGAGAAUUCUAAUCUCUUCGACUAGGUGAACUAGGAGGUGUGUCAUUAUAUUGAAGAAGGAUGGCGGGAACAACAACUCAAAGCUGACCAGACAUUGGACCACAUCAAUCUGUAACCCUGAUAGACUUUCUCGAUCGAUUACCUUCUGAGAAAUUGCAUUGAGGAAUGCACAUACCUUCACAAUUGCCAGGCGAACAUUUUCCGGUAGAAUUCCCCUCAAUGCAACCGGAAGCAAUUGCGUCAUAAGCAUGUGGCAGUCAUGAGACUUUAGGUCUUGGAAUUUUUUGUCUUUCAUAUUUAUGAUUCCCUUUAUAUUCGACGAGAAGUCAGUCAGGACCUUGAUACUGAAAAGGACUUCAAAGAAGAUUUCCUUCUCUUCCUUAGUAAGAGCGUAGCUGGCACGCCCUUGAAACUGCCCUGGAUGCAUGCCAUCUCUUCCUUUAUGACGUUCCUGGUCCUCCCGUGCUUCCGGUGUAUCUUUUGACUUCCCAUACAAGCCCAGGAAGCCUUGAAUAUUCACGCAGAGAUUCUUCGUCAGGUGCAUCACGUCGAUUGCCGAGCGGACCUCAUGGACUUCCCAGUAGGGUAGCUCCCAAAAUAUAGAUUUCUUCUUCCACAUGGGUACGCGCUUAUCAGGGCCGUUAGGAACAGGUUGGCUGCCAGGACCCUUUCCAAAGAUUACUUUUAAAUCUUUGACCAUAUCAAAUACUUCAGCACCAGUACGGAUGACAGGCUUCCCCCGGGGUUCUGCCUUGCCAUUGAAAUGNNNNNNNNNNAGACCCUUUCCAAAGGUUACUUUUAAAUCUUUGACCAUAUCAAAUACUUCAGCACGAGUACGGAUGACAGGCUUCCCCCGGGGUUCUGCCUUGCCAUUGAAAUGCUUGACUUUUUUCUUUAAGGGAUGCUUGGGCGGAAGAAAACAACGAUUGUACGGAUACACAUUCUUCCUACAGUUGUCGAGAUAUAUACUUUCUGUCUGAUCCAAACAGUGCGUGCAUGCAUUGUAUCCCUUGUUUAACUGUCCUGAAAUGUUACUAAGAGCAGGCCAAUCAUUGAUGGUUACGAAAAGCAACUCUCGAAGGUCAAAUUCCUCUUGUUUGUGCUCGUCCCACACACGUACACCUGGUUCGGCCCACAGCUGUAAAAGUUGAUCAACUAAUGGCCUUAGGUACACAUCAAUAUCGUUGCCGGGUUGCUUUAGACCUUGUAUAAGCACUGGCAUCAUAAUAAACUUCCGCUUCAUGCACAACCAAGGAGGAAGGUUGUAGAUACAUAGAGUAAUGGACCAGGUGUUGUGACUGCAACUCUGCUCCCCAAAAGGAUUCAUGCCAUCUGUACUCAGACCUAACCAUAAGUUCCUUGCGUCUGCUGCAAAUCUCGGGAACUCUCUCUUGAUUUUUCUCCACUGCCGACCAUCAGCGGUGUGCCUCAACUUAUCGUCUUUCAUACAAUCUUCCAUGUGCCAUCGCAACAACUUCGCAUGAUCUUUAUUUCUGAACAGACGUUUCAACCGUGGUAUUAUAGGAGCAUACCACAUCCCCUGGCAGGAACCGUCUUCCUGGGUGGCUCGCCCUCAAUAUCACCAGGGUCAUCUUUUCUGAUCUUAUACCGCAAUGCAGUCUAUACCGGGCAUUUAUCCAUAUUCUCGUACUUCUCACCUCGGUAGAGGAUGCAUUCAUUAGGGCAUGCAUGUAUCUUCUGCACGUCUAAUCCUAGAGGGCAGACAAGCUUCUUUGCUUCGUACGUGCUGGCGGGCAAUUCGUUCUUUCUUGGAAGCAUCUUCUUCAUCAGUACCAGCAACUUUUCGAAUGACGAGUCAGUCACACCGGUCUCUGUCUUCCACUUCAGCAAUUCCAGUGUGCUACCCAGCUUCUUCUGGCCAUCUUCACAAGUUGGGUACAACAAUUUGUUGUGGUCCUGUAACAUCUGCUCGAACUGCAACCUCUCCUUUUCUAUGUCGCAACCUCGCCGUGCAUCAGAAAUGACCCGGCCAAGAUCAUCAGCGGGCUCAUCUGGUUCCCGUUCUUCAUCCUGAUCUUCUUCUUCAUUGUCUUGCAUUGCGGUAUCAGCAUACUCAGGGAACAUAGAUCGGUAGUUGUCAUCAUCGUUCUCUUCUUCUUCAUCGUCGCCUUCCAUCAUAACCCCUCUUUCUCCGUGCUUGGUCCAAACAUUAUAGCCCGACAUAAAACCGGACCGAAGCAGGUGGCUCUGAAUGACUCUUGAGGAAGUGUAAUCCUUCCAAUUCGACAUUCAACACAUGGACAAAACAUAUAGCCACCACCAUGCUUGUUCGCAUUGGCUGCAUCUCGAAAAGAAUGCACGCCUUCUCUGUAAGCGGCUGUGCGUCGAUCACCGUACAUCCAUGGAUGGCUCAUCUCUGCGUUAUACGACAGUAUAUCAAAUACAAUCACGAUCCUAAAAAUUAGUACCGCACGAUCUAAACGAGGAAAUAUAGUUGCUAACCUUUUAGAAUAAGUAGAAAUAAAGAGGAAGAGGUUUAAGCGUGGCUUGGGCAUCUCAUAUCGUAGUUGUAUUCGGUGAACUGAAGCGGCAUCGCUCUAACACACAUUUCAACAAACACCUCUAGUGCAUAAAAAAAAGUGGAGAGCAAGCACCCACCCACAAUCCUCCAUCCAAUAAAAAUGCAACGAAGAGGGGAGAGGGGGGCUGUGCUAUAUAUAGGCAGAGGACUUUAGUCCCGGUUUGAGACACAAACCGGGACUAAAGGUGGCGCACAUGCGGGCUGCCCACCGCGUAGCCCUUUACUCCCGGCUUGGGACACGAACCGGGACUAAAGGCUCCUUACGGGCCGGGACUAAAGCCUCGAGGGAGGAUAUGAGAAUUGGGGCGACGUAGCCGGGCCUUUAGUUCCGGCCCAGAGGCAGGCCGGGACUAAAGGGUACAGGCCAAAGGCCCGGUUUCUACUAGUGUAUGUGUCCAGCCCUGCCAACGAGCCAGUAUAAUACACCAGAGUACGAAAGAUAUAAUAUACACAUGAAAUCAAAACCAUACAGCUCUUAUAUGUGUCUCCCGUGACCGUGAUGAUCAGGGUAUGCCAGCCCCUAGAGCUUCCAUGCCAGAUAUAUUCCUUUGUCCGAUGCUAUGCUCCAGAUUAUUAUGGCCACACUUGUAAACCAAUCAAAUAUUUAUAUGCAAACAGCAGACAACAUGCAUAUAGGAGUAUCUUCUUGGAAACUAAAGGAAACUCUCAUGGCACAGCUCCCAGGAUUUUGUUCAUUAGUGAAGAGCAGAUUAAGCUCCAAUGAUGAAUGUCACACACGUAACAUGCCAGUACAAUAAUGGUUGCACAUGAGUUUUGGAAACUACCACGGCAAGAAUGAAACUAAUUACCUCGAUUGAUAAUGACAUGAACGAGGCACUUGCACACCACACCCGGUCUAUAAGUACCACCCCCAAACAACCCAAGAAAACCAUCCCAAGCUACCAUAGCCUACAAGCUUAAUUAGCCAUAUACCAGCACGAUCCAUCAGUAGCAAUGGCGCCUUCCAAGCUCGCCUUCUUCCUCGCUCUGAACCUGGUCCUCCUUGCCGCCGUGCAGGGCUGCGGUCCCUACUGCCCACCGGUCNNNNNNNNNNGGCGCCCUCCAAGCUCGCCCUCUUCCUCGCCCUGAACCUGGUCCUCCUUGCCGCUGUGCAGGGCUGCGGCCCCUACUGCCCACCGGUCGUCCCCACCCCGCCGAUCCUCCCACCACCCGUGCCGUCGACCGACGGAGGCAGCUGCUCGAUCAACACGCUGAAGCUGGGCGUGUGCACCAACGUGCUGAACCUGCUGAAGCUUAAGAUUGGCGUGCCGGCGAACGAACAGUGCUGCCCACUCCUGGGCGGGCUCGCCNNNNNNNNNNGCUGCUCGAUCAACACGUUGAAGCUGGGCGUGUGCGCCAACGUGCUGAACCUGCUGAAGCUCAAGAUCGGCGUGCCGGCGAACGAGCAGUGCUGCCCACUCCUGGGCGGGCUCGCCGACCUCGACGCCGCGGUGUGCCUCUGCACCGCCAUCAGGGCCAACAUCCUCGGCAUCAAGCUCAACGUCCCCAUCGACCUGACCCUCCUCCUCAACCAGUGCGGCAAGAAGUGCCCAACCAACUUCACCUGCCCCAUCUGAUGCAUCCAUCCAUUGCAUGGGCUCCCUCGCUCGUGCAUGCAUGCUUGAUAAGCUCGUGAUUGAUCAUCAGGGUCAUUGUAUCCCGUUAUGGUAUCUAAAUGCACGAUUUGCAUAUUUGUAAAAGGAUAUACAUACUUGUACACGCACCUUGGAAUAUAAAAUUUGUUCAAGUUGGGGUUUUCUCUCUUCCCUCUCGGCUGGAACCCUAGCCCUCCUCGUCAAGAGAAAAGAUCAUCCUAGUGUAUGUAGCUUAGUAAAUAUACCCUAGCCCUCCUCGGCACAAAAAAUCUUAUGUAACUUAGGAACAAGGCAGGAUCUAAGAAUCAUUUUUNNNNNNNNNNCAACACGUUGAAACUGGGCGUGUGCGCCAACGUGCUGAACCUGCUGAAGCUCACUCCUGGGCGGGCUCACCGACCUCGACGCUGCCGUGUGCCUCUGCACCGCCAUCAGGGCCAACAUCCUCGGCAUCAAGCUCAAUGUCCCCAUCGACCUCACCCUCCUACUCAACCAGUGCGGCAAGAAGUGCCCCGCCAACUUCACCUGCCCCAUCUGAUCCAUCUAUCCAUGGAUUUACUCGUAGCUAUAUAUUGCAUGUCAUACGCGCGCACCAUAUGUCAGGACUUUGCAUGGGCUCCCUCGCUCGUGCAUGCAUGCUUGAUAAGCUCGUGAUNNNNNNNNNNNNNNNNNNNNNNNNNNNNNNNNNNNNNNNNNNNNNNNNNNNNNNNNNNNNNNNNNNNNNNNNNNNNNNNNNNNNNNNNNNNNNNNNNNNNNNNNNNNNNNNNNNNNNNNNNNNNNNNNNNNNNNNNNNNNNNNNNNNNNNNNNNNNNNNNNCUACUUGUACACGUACCUUGGAAUAUAAAGUUUGUUCAAGUUGGGUUAACUCGACUCGUGAUAUGCCAGCUUGAGUUGUAUAUUCAUGCAUGAUUGCAUCAAUCAUGAUCAGAUCCACAUCUUUCCACAUGCAUUAGCUACAUCUUCUUUCUUUCUUUUUUGCCUAGAUGAUCGUUGCUAAAACUAAAUAUCAUGCUGAAGAUUUUCUUCUCUCCAAUGCCACCUUUUUACAUCUUGACGUUCUAGCUGAUCCAUAAAAAAUUCAAGGAUGCAUGCAUCGUACUCCUAUAUGGUAGAUGUCAUCUACCUUUGCGGCUUUUUUUAUGCAAUUGCACAUGCUCAUAGCUCACAUACACGUACAUACACUCACCUAUAUAAACUUAUGCACGCAUCCUAUAUCUACGAGCGCCUCCGAGAUAUUGAGUCACCACAACAUUUGAGAUUGACAAAGUCGUCAGAAACGUUUCAUGAUAGAUGGAAAUAUCUUCUUUCACUGAUCGAACAUCGCCAUGUGACAUUUGUGGUAAGCAGUUCAAACUUAUUAAGGAAAGAAUUGAAUAAAUCUAGAAAAUUUUGAGCAUUGGUGUCAAGUCUAACUGGUGGGCUGAUUCCACCGCAAGUAACCUAACUAUUUAUGCUAUGCUCAAUUCGCUACUUAAGUUAGCAUAAUAUAUUCUAUAGUGAAUAUGUACAAGUCAUCCAUUGUUGUAUCUUGUUGUGGCAUCUAACAGACUCACAUGUUCAUAGAAGGACACAAAGAAUAAUAAAAAGAGUGAAUUCUGGUUUUUACCCCCUAUUUUAACAUUUUUGACACUAGUUACCCGAUUUCAAGUCUAGCAUGUUCCUGGGCGGGCUCGCCGACCUCGACGCCGCCAUGUGCCUCUGUACCGCCAUCAGGGCCAACAUCCUCGGCAUCAAGCUCAACGUCCCCAUCNNNNNNNNNNNNNNNNNNNNNNNNNNNNNNNNNNNNNNNNNNNNNNNNNNNNNNNNNNNNNNNNNNNNNNNNNNNNNNNNNNNNNNNNNNNNNNNNNNNNNNNNNNNNNNNNNNNNNNNNNNNNNNNNNNNNNNNNNNNNNNNNNNNUCCCAUGUUGAUAAACGUUGAUGCUGCAGUCUUCUCACAAUCAUCACGAAUGGGAGUGGGCAUAGUAAUAAGAAGUCACCUAGGAGGCUAGGACUACUACUAGCAACCAAAACAAGGUAUGUGGACCAAGUGGUUAACCUUGAACUCGCGGAGGCCUGUCCCAUGUGAUCCCAUGUUACAGUUCAUAUGUCAGGCGUUUGCAUGGGCUCCCUCGCUCGUGCAUGCAUGCUUGAUAAGAUUGUGAUUGAUCAAUGUCAAUGUAUCACGUUAUGGUAUCUAAAUGCAUGAUUUGCAUAUUGUAAAAGGAUAUACAUACUUGUACACGUACCUCGGUACCUGGAAUAGAAAGUGUGUUCAAGUUGGGUUAACUCGAUCGACUCGUGAUAUGCCAGCUUGAGUUGUAUAUUCAUAUGUACAUGCAUGAUUGCAUCAAUCAUGAUCAGAUCCACAUCUUUCCCCAUGCAUUAGAUGAUCCUUGAUAAAACUAAAAAUCUUGCUGAAGAUUUUCUUC